CGCCCGGGGCGCGCCCCGGGCGGGGCGGGGGCACGGGGGGAACGCGAAGAACCUUACCUGGUCUUGACAUCCACGGAACUUUCCAGAGAUGGAUUGGUGCCUUCGGGAACUUUGAUACAGGUGCUGCAUGGCUGUCGUCAGCUCGUGUUGUGAAAUGUUGGGUUAAGUCCCGCAACGAGCGCAACCCUUUUCCUUUGUUGCCAGCGGUUCGGCCGGGAACUCAAAGGAGACUGCCAGUGACAAACUGGAGGAAGGCGGGGAUGACGUCAAGUCAUCAUGGCCCUUACGACCAGGGCUACACACGUGCUACAAUGGUGCGUACAAAGGGAAGCUACCUAGCGAGAGCAAGCGGACCUCAUAAAGUGCAUAGUAGUCCGGAUUGGAGUCUGCAACUCGACUCCAUGAAGUCGGAAUCGCUAGUAAUCGCGGAUCAGAAAGCC
rnacentral:rRNA from 1 species